rnacentral:rRNA from 1 species
UUGUAGUCCACGCCCUAAACGAUGGAUGCUAGAUAUUGGAAGUGUCGACCCUUCCAGUGUCGUUAUAAAAAAGCUAACGCGUUAAGCAUCCCGCCUGGGAAGUACGGCCGCAAGGCUAAAACUCAAAGGAAUAGACGGGGACCUGCACAAGCGGUGGAUCAUGUGGUUUAAUUCGACGACAAACGAGGAACCUUACCAGGACUUGACAUUCUACUAGUAAGCCGACGGAAACAUCGGCUGACCGUUAAAUCGGCGAGUAGAACAGGUGCUGCAUGGUUGUCGUCAGCUCGUGUUGUGAAAUGUACCUUUAAUUAGGACAACGAGCGCAACCCUUAUCCUUAAUUGCUCCGGCGUUCGUCGGAGAAAUUUUAAGGAGACUGCCGGUGAUAAACCGGAGGAAGGAGAGGAUGACGCCAAAUCCGCACGGCCUUUAUGUCCUGGGCUACACACAUGAUACAAUGGCCGGCACAAAGGGUAGCCAAGUCGUAAGACGGAGCUUAAUCCCAUCAAAGCCGGUCUCAGUUCGGAUUGAGGUCUGAAACCUGACCUCAUGAAGCUGAAAUCGCUAGUAACCGUAUAUCAGCUAUGGUACGGUGAAUACGUUCUCAGGUCUUGUACUCACCGCCCGUCACGUCAAGAGAGUCGGUAAUAUCCGAGACCCCGCGUUCGCGGGAUAAAGAUAGGACCGAUAAUAGGGACGAAGUCGUAACAAGGCACCCGUAGCGGAAGCUGUGGGUG